UUCAAUUUCUAGUGUUAACUAUGUUAAUUUUGUGGAUUACUGAUAUUUCUGAAGACUGGAACUCUUUUCUUUUGGUCAUUCAGUGUAUUUUUAAUUGAGUUGCAGUUCCUGUUGAGAUGAUACUGACUGUGCACAAAUGCUGAAAACAGAUCUAGGCAAAUAAAAGCAAGUAUUCUGCAGUUGAGUUUGCUUUCAUCUUAGCAUUUUACAACAUUCUGCUCAGACAUUGUGAAAAAUUGUGGUUUUAUAUAAAAUAACAAUCUUAAAAGACUAAGGUGACCACAUAGUGCUCUCAAGGGUCUUUAUCUACAGACUUGCUCCAUGUAGAUUGAUUUAAGAGCCUGUAUCUGAUCCUUGAAAGGAAGUAAAAAAAUCAAGUGAAAGCAAAACACAAAAAAAAUGGCAAAAGGCCCCCAAAUUUAAUGAAUAUUAAUAAAAAUAGCCUGAAUUCUUGUUAAAGGAAGAUAAUCAUUUGGGUAUGUCAUUUUACUUUAAGUCAUAAAUGACAAAUUUUAUAUUCCUGGUAUUCUCUGCAAAUGUGCUUUUAGAGCUGGUGUGAAAGCAGGUUGAGGGAUAAGGUGUACUAUUUGUAAGAAUAUUCAUGAAUGAUUUGGACUAAAUUUUUAUAAUGAGAUCUUAGAUCCUCUUUAAAAUGCAAGAGAACAGUUAAUUUCAUUUUGACACUCUGGGUGUCAGUGUCCAGACUUGUGGGCACAUGGUCUCUGUGUCAUGUCUAAUGCUGAAGCAGUGAACUGCAGGUGAAACGUUUGCUCCUCCACACGUUGGUCUUCAGACUCUUUUGUGGCAGCCAUGUCGUGUGAGCAGGUGAUUUCUGUCCUUGUCUUUUCCCCUUCCUUUGUGCCAAUAUGAGUGUGACCAUAUAAUGAGCUACAUUGAGGAGAUGUCUCAUACUGAAAACACCCUAUUUUGUUGGUAUAUUUUCCAUUUAGGUGAAUUCCUCAGUCCAGAUCACUGUUCUGCUGACAAAGCACUUGCAUGGAAGGGGCAGUUGGAAAAUGUCAAUGGGGGUUGCUGGGACUGUUUAGCCCAACGUGGCCAGAGAAAGAGACAUUUUAUCCAAGUCCCACCUAGACUGGUUGGCCAAGUGGCCACUUGAAUCUGCUCACUGGAGACUAAUCCCUGCUCAGAGAAAUGGGGAACUGACUGCUGAGGACAGGGAAAUCGUGAAAGCUGCCCCACUUUCUGGGCAGCUCUACAGUUGCAUCAGCUAGAAAUGAUCGAGGAGUGUGCUGAUGCAAUGCAUGGUCAUCUUCUCUGCUCCCAGUCUCGGGUCCUCAUCCUAGAGUCUCUGUAUCUGACUCUUCAAUAAAAAAUGGAGAAUAUUAACUCUUUUUGGUUGGUUGAUUUUGGCCUGUGUUAGUCAGAUGAAUCAGCAAACUGUGAAGAGGAAUGAGAAACCUGUCCCUUUUGGUGGCAACCAGCAGUCAGAUCAGCUCAACCGGCUCGGUGCAAUUUCAGCCUUCUUAUGGGCUCACAUUGAGCAGCAGAACAACUUAAGAUGGCAAGAAAGUUUGUGAUGAUGUGGGAAGGAAUGUUGCCAGGGACAGAGGUGACAGACCAGCAGCCACUGUGACUGAAAUAGCAGUGGCUUCCCCCAGGCUUCAUGCUCACAUCUAAUGAUGCUGUUUAAUCAGUGCCUUUUGUCUGGCUUGUUUUUCCCAGCUCUGCACAAUUCACUGCAUCCUACAGUGAAAUCUGUGCGGCCAUGCAGUGCAGGGAAUUGAUCCAGUUGGAGAAUAACGUAGGGAAAAAAGUUGUUUUAGCCACCUCUGCUUCCUAAUCCCAUUUACCAUGUGCUAGACAAAUAGCCAGGUUGGGAAAAUAGAGUGGGAAGACAAGGCAGAAGAUGGUCAGGAGGAGAAGGGGUGAAACAAUGGAUAAGGAAACAUGCUUGGAAUUUUAUGGUUAUGGGAACCCAAUUUGGCUCUUUAAAGUGUUUGAGCUGUGUGCUGCUCUUGAGUGUCUGUGUGCCCAAAUGUUCUUUGAGGCUUGUAAGCACAUCUCUCUGGUUGAUGAUUUUAAAUUGCUAUCCCUGCAAUUGUGUCAAGUGGGAUAAAAACUAGGGAGCUGUUUUGUUACAGAAUGGCUUUUUUAUACAUAUAGUCCUGUUCAGAUUUAAAAAUUAAAUAUUCAGAAUAGCUCUCUAAUGUAUGUGCCUUUGAUAACAACCUAAGUGUUUUAUAUUUUGGAAAUAUGCAUAAUGUUUUACAAAGCUCAGGAAAUGUAAUGAGCUUUUAUAGGUGGUUUAUCUUCUCUAUCAGCUAUUUUUUGCAUCAGUCUGUACAUAGCUUUCUUCUCUUGAACUUUCCCUCAGAAGAGAAUUAUUCUCCAGGUGCAUUUUAUUUUUAUUGCAAGUUCACUUAGAAACAGGCUGCGAUAAUUUGCUAACUACUACUAAAUAUGUAUUUUUUUAUAGAUGGUUGAACAUAAUAUGUGAUGGGCAGACAUUAAUAUAUUAUUUUAUCCAUAAAGAAACACUAGUGCCAUUCUGGUAGUGCCAUAUAGCAUUUCUUCACUGUCUGUAUCCCUCUUGGAGGAGGGGAUAUAACAAGUUGAAGUUCAGGUUUUGAAAAGUUAAUGGUGUGGACCGGAUCCCCAAAGGGAAAUGCUCAUGUUGGGAACAUGACACAGGAUUGCACACAGCUUUUCCUGUGGGGUUCGUGGGUUACCAGAAAUGCUCUGGGAAGUUGGAUAACUGUGCAGGUACUAUGUUGUUUGAGUUGAUCUGCUUCCCCGUGCCUUUAGGUAAUUUGCACACUUGCUUUUAGUAACUAAUCAUGCAAAAUAAGCAAAUUGAACAGGCAGCACUGGAUUUCCUAUUUCCUUGUGAGCUAACGAUAGUAUGGGAGUAGUACUGAUAAAUUUCAGUUGCUACUCAAUGCAAA